ACAGCAGUCGCCGCGGGAAUACGAAGGGGGCUAGCGUUGCUCGGAAUGACUGGGCGUAAAGGGCGCGUAGGCGGAUGGCGCAGUCAGAUGUGAAAUUCCUGGGCUUAACCUGGGGGCUGCAUUUGAGACGCGUGGUCUGGAGUGUGAAAGAGGGUCGUGGAAUUCCCAGUGUAGAGGUGAAAUUCGUAGAUAUUGGGAAGAACACCGGUGGCGAAGGCGGCGACCUGGUUCAUGACUGACACUGAGGCGCGAAAGCGUGGGGAGCAAACAGGAUUAGAGACCCCAGUAGUCCCUGUCUCUUAUAC
rnacentral:rRNA from 1 species